rnacentral:lncRNA from 1 species
GUUUGAUCGGGAAACGGUACGGAACGAGAGAACGUUCAGUUUUAAGGUGGGUUUAAGCAAAGACGUCUUAUUAAUGGUCAGGAGAGUGUUUCGUAGGUUACAAAGAAAAAAAAAUGCGUAAAUGAAAAGGUGCCGGAGCCUCGAGGGCUUUUCCGGAGAGAAUACAACAAGACAAAGCAACCAAAGGUGAAAACCCUAAUUUAGCUGUCUCAAUGUGUAUC